CCUACGGGUGGCAGCAGUGAGGAAUAUUGGUCAAUGGACGCAAGUCUGAACCAGCCAUGCCGCGUGCAGGAAGACGGUUCUAUGAGUUGUAAACUGCUUUUGUACGAGGGUAAACGCAGAUACGCGUAUCUGACUGAAAGGAUCGUACGAAUAAGGAUCGGCUAACUCCGUGCCAGCAGCCGCGGUAAGACGGAGGAUUCAAGCGUUAUCCGGAUUUAUUGGGUUUAAAGGGUGCGUAGGCGGUCGGAUAAGUUAGAGGUGAAAUCCCGAGGCUCAACCUCGGAAUUGCCUCUGAUACUGGUAGGCUAGAGAGUAGUUGCGGUAGGUGGAAUGCAUGGUGUAGCGGUGAAAUGCUUAGAGAUCAUACAGAACACCGAUUGCGAAGGCAGCUUACCAAGCUACUUCUGACGUUGAGGCACGAAAGCGUGGGGAGCAAACAGGAUUAGAUACCCGAGUAGUC
rnacentral:rRNA from 1 species